AUCGUGCAAACAUCCGGCCUGGAAAGUGAAAACAGAAAUACUCUCCCCCUAACCCUAAUACGGCUUAAAAUAACCCACGAAGAUCGUCUCUCAUCUUCAUGCGGCCGCGGUGACGUUUGCGCUUACUGUAACAGACUUCUUUAUGGAUUCCUCUUUAAUCCUGUUGAUUUAUUCUCCCAUGAUGUGUCUUCGAUGCGUUGAUUAGGUCUGAAAGGCGGUGUGUUUUCAGCAUAAAUAUGUGAGCAAUCCUCAUCUGGGACUCAUCUUCUCUUUCAAUUCUCUGAAAGUAUCUCAGGUUAAGCGAGGCGGCGAGGGUCGACACACUCCUCAUGUACGCCAAGGGUUGACAUCGCCAUUAACGAUCGUCUAACUCUUCGACCCACUCCAGCCACGAUUCCCCAUUCAAUGCGUUGUCCCUUUCUACAAGGCGGUAGAUCUCCAGCUAUAAGAAGAUAUGUGUUGUUGAUGAGACCGACCGACGAAGCUGUUUUGAUUACCAGUAUCCAGUUUCAAAGGUCUCGGUUACACUAGAACAAGAAGUUCUCACAACGCUUACACAAAUACAUCGAUUUGUGAGAAUAAUCUUACGUCCCAAGUUUUUCAAAACUAUAAACUGAUUCUUCCAAUGGCGUUCCCACGAGAACAAGCCAAGAAAGAUGACUCUGUUAGUUAAAUACUUGGCAAGUUUCUAUCGAAUUUUCUUAUUCAUUUUUUGUUUAAUUCGUGAGUUGUUUUAAAUUCAAUUUUCUUACUUCAUUUUGAUUGCGUAGAUUGUAAAUUAAAAAACAAGCAAGAUAGGAUACUCGGGGAGGUCAGGAAUGAGAAAGUUGAGCAAUGAUUAAGAGAUGGAUGAGAUUGGGAUUGGGGUUUCAGGGUUGAAUUAUGAGUCUGAUGAGUUGAACAAGAGCAGUAAGACUACUAAGAGUGUUCAAAAUGGAGGAGGUAAUGUAAGAAGAGAAUGCCUGCUAAGAAUCUGAUGGCUGAGAAGAGGAGGAGGUGGGUGAUAGGCUUUAUAUGCUUAGAUCAGUUGGCCCCAAGAUCAGCAAAAUAACAAUUACUUCUCUCUGAUCUCCUCAAGGGCUUCGUCUUCAUCAUUUACUUAUCACCGUUAGAGUUCGAUAGAUUAUGUGUUGUGUUUGUUGCGAUGGAAUUUCAUUAACAACCACAUACAUUAUGCAUUAAACCUCAGACUUCGGUUCGUGUCAAUUUCAAAGAUACCACAUGCAGCUGUUUAUUAGCUUUUCAAAAAAUUUUAUUCACAUACCCA